AACCUGUUUUCUUUUUUCAGUGUCACGUAGGACUUUGGUACUUAUCGAACAACUUCCAAUUUUACGUGAUUUCUCUGAUGAUAUACUACUUUAUGUUCAAAUUCAAGAUUGGACAGAAGAUGAUCAUCUUUGUCAUGACAUUCUUCUGGUCGAUAACGUUUUGCUUGAUAUAUUUCCACAACAUAACAGAUCCCAACCCCCAUUUCACACGUGAUAAUUCAUUAGAAAUCAUGAUGUCUUCCUACCAGUUGUAUAUUUUGUACACAUGCAUGUACAUAAACUAUGGCAGUUUUGGAGUUGGUCUGUUAUUUGGAUACUGGUUUCAUCGCUACAAAAAUCAAACGUUUCAUUGCAAUAAGGUAAUGUCGAUUUUGUGGUUACUGAUGUUCUUUGGUCUACCAUCGAUUGCUAUUUAUAGUACCCUUUUUGAGUACUCUAGAUUAGCCACCGCAAUAUUGUUACCCACCGCAAGGACGUUAUUUUCACUAGGAAUUGCGAUAGGAAUUUUUGGCAUGAUUAAGGGAAUGGGGGGUGAGUACUAUCUAUUGAUGGA